GAAGUAACAAAUGCCCUGCUUCCAGGAAAGCCUCUAAGCAUCAGGUAACAUCAAAUCGUACCCCAAACCGACACAGGUGGUCAGGUAGAGAAUACCAAGCGCUUGAGAGAACUCGGGUGAAGGAACUAGGCAAAAUGGUGCCGUAACUUCGGGAGAAGGCACGCUGGUGUGUAGGUGAAGUCCCUGCGGAUGGAGCUGAGACCAGUCGAAGAUACCAGCUGGCUGCAACUGUUUAUUAAAAACACAGCACUGUGCAAACACGAAAGUGGACGUAUACGGUGUGACGCCUGCCCG
rnacentral:rRNA from 1 species